rnacentral:rRNA from 1 species
UACGGAGGGUGCAAACGUUGCUCGGAAUCAUUGGGCGUAAAGCGCACGUAGGCGGCCUGUUAAGUCGGGUGUGAAAGCCCUGGGCUCAACCCAGGAAGUGCACUCGAAACUGGCGGGCUUGAAUAUGGAAGAGGGUCGCGGAAUUCCCGGUGUAGAGGUGAAAUUCGUAGAUAUCGGGAGGAACACCAGUGGCGAAGGCGGCGACCUGGGCCAAUAUUGACGCUGAGGUGUGAAAGCGUGGGGAGCAAACAGG